UUAUUUAGAUCUUUUUAAUAUAUAAAAUCAGCGCCCGUAGUUUUUUUGAUGUUUCAGCUGACACUAAAGCAUCGAAAAACCUAACUGAAAAAAAAAUUUGCAUGGUCAUAACUUUUGUGCAAGACGGAAUUUUCAAUACUAUCUCUUUUGAUAUUUAUUCUUCUACCAAAGAGAAGAGAGUCACUACUUGAUAUUUGUAGAUUCAUCUCUUAGAGAUAGGCGUAACAUUGGUUAACUGACAAAAUGUAAAAAGCAGAUUUAUUGGAAGCUAUGUAGCAGCUUGCACAAGCACAAAAAAGCAUUAAACACAUCGAAAAAAAUGUUUUAAAAUCAGGAACCAUCGAAAAUGUAAAUUCCCAGAACAAAACAGUGUGUAGAACGAGCAACCAAGUGUCUUCAAGAUCUUUUUGACAUCAGUAGAAAAGAUAAAGAACCUCAAGCAUAAAUUUAUUUUGUCUCACAAAACAUAAGAAUUGUGCAUCAAGCCUUAAUUAAGCUGAAGACUACACAACAUUUUUUCAAUAUAUACAGUAACCCCCCCCCUGCUUUUGUACUUGUAGAGUUGUUAUCUAAGUUUGUAAUUUUAUAUUUAUUUGUAAUUUAAAGUAUUAAGAUGUAGCAAUAAACUGUUAAGUACUUAAAAACUA